UCCUUUCCUUUCUUCUCCCGUUCCUUCUUGAGUUCCAAACAGAGCCUAAUAAGAGAAAAUUCCUCAACCCCAGCGCCGGACCGCUCUCGGGCUCGUAGCUGCUGCCGUGCUGCGUUACUACAAAGUCCAUCAGCCGAUUGGCGGCAAGAAAGCUCAUGAACCCAUUUAUCGUUUUCAAGACUAAAAACCGUUGAUUGGAGGAAACAAAAACACAGGAAAUAUGGUGUGGGGUCUGUUUCCUGUCGACCCAAUUCCAGGCGAAGAGAGUUAUUAUAUCUUCAAUAAAGGGAUGUACAAAGUGGGUCGAAAAGGAUGUGAUGUGAUAGUUAAUAAAGACAAAGGAGUUUCUCGAAUCCAUGCAGAAAUAGUGGUUGAUGAGAUGGCUUCCAUGGGGAGUCUGCAAAAUAAGUCUUCUAAUAUAUAUUCCAAAGUUCGGAUAAGAGAUUGUUCGAAAUAUGGAACAUUUAUCAUCAAGAAUACAGGGUCAAAAGAGAAAGUUCAUGAGUGCCCAAACAAGGAAACAUCUCUGAAAGAUGGCGACCUGGUUUCAUUUGGUACUGGUAAUGCAACGUACAGGUUUUGUUCCGUUCCUCUCACAAUCUUUGUUUACUGCUCGGAACCCUUUGAAGCAAAUCAACUUCUUCAUGAGAAGAUAUCAUCGAGCGGUGCUUGUACAACUCAUAGCUGGAAUCCAGACUGCACUCAUGUGCUGGUUAACCAGUUCAGGCCAUUGACAGAAGGGUUAGUUGAUGCUUUUGUGGCCAAGAAGCCUUUUGUCCUUAAAGAUUGGAUUGAGGCUUUUGCAGGGAAAAAUAUAGGCACUGAAAUUCCAAGCUGCAGUUCUUAUGCUCCAAGCUUGGUGUUGGAAGGAGUAUCAGUCAAAGUUGCGGACCCCAAAUCCCGAGAGAACUGUUUGACUGGAUACACUUUUGUAUUAGAACAGACGCACAAGUAUAAGUUUAAGGAUAAGCUGUCAUCAUUAUUGGCAAUGGUUGGCGCAAAAGUUGUUAAUAUUGAAGGAUUCUCGACAAAUAGCCAAGGCUUGGGAGAUGAAGGUGAUAACAAGGUUGUGCUUGUCACCCCUCCUGAUUUGGUGGACAAAUCUGUGCCCAACUGUAACCUUAGUCAUCUAUCUAUAGUGAAGGAGAGAGAUUUGAUUUGUGCUGCUUUCUCUGGACACUUGGAUCCUUCUAUAAUAGUAGCAGCACCUGUUGUGAUCUCCUCUUCAUGCUCGACGGAUGAGACAGUGGUAGCAGAUUCUGAUGUAGAAGCUGAAACAGCAACGUCAGUUGACCUAUCUGUUGCCAUUAAGCCCGUAGAAACCACGAAACAUGAGACAGAUCAUGCUGCUACCAGAUUAGGAAGUGACAACAUUACUUGCUCCAUUGGCAGAGAUGAUGAUACAACAGCACGAAAAUAUGAGGUUGAUAAGCUCGAAAGUGGAAAUCCAGAUAUUAGCUCCAGCGACCAAGAUAAUACUAUAACAGCAAGAAGAGACCGCAUUGAUGAGCCUGAAAGUGGAAAUCCAGAUAUUAUAUAUAGCCAAAUUUUAGUAGUUAGGGAUACCAACUUACCAGCUUCAGACUAUUCCUCAACUUAUAAUGGAGUUCCAAAUUUUAAAUGCUUCAAAAAGUCGAGGACUCCAUCGGGGAAUAGUUUCGACAAUCUUAUUCCAUUUGCAAAAUACCCAUAUAAAGAUUCUGACUAUGGAAGUGACGAAGUAGCUGAAUCUGUUAAAGAAGAAAAAAAGCGGAAACAAAUGGAGGCUAUUGCAGAGGACUUAUUCAACAACGAGAAGGGGCGAAAGCGAGGAGUCACUGGCUCUCUCCAUGGAAUUUUUACACGUAGUUGACACGGUUUUUGUAGGAUCCUCUUCUAUGUUUGCACUGUGUGGACCGUGGAUUUGUGGACAGAAGGGAAAGGAAAAUGGUUGGAAAACAUGAAAAUAAUCGCGUGAAUAUGCCAAAAUACUUGUGGGCCGCAGACAUGAUGAAUUGCAGCUUAAUAUGGCUCCUCCAGCCUUUUUUCCUUGGAUUUUUCCAACCAAUAUACAAGAAGAGAUAUCCAUGUGGCCUAUACUCUUUCUCAAAUUGUUGCUAGCACUGACUCCCUCUCUCAUCCAUUCGUUAUCGAUCAUGGUUUGCGUUUACGCUUUCUCCUGUGGUGGUUCAGGGUUGUAUGUAAUUGACCAACCAUUUUUUGUUCUUAGCCCCCCUUUUCGUCGAUGCUAGGUCUCUGAUGGUCUUGUACAUGUAAUAUUUCUGCCCGGACACAUGAAUUAUCAAACAAAAAAUGCGAAGCCCCCCUUUUGAUUUU